rnacentral:lncRNA from 1 species
AAAGAAAUGCUUUGUGACUACUGUAGAAAGAAAUUAUGUUUGCAUUCCAGAAAACGCUUAGAAAAACUGAGGUGAACUCAUGAAGGAUUUUGAAGUAACUUUCUCUCCACCCUCAUGAAAUAAAAUGAACUUCCUUCUUCAUAAGCCAUUCUAUCCACAUCUUACAUGCUGUCUCAUUCACUGAUGAAUGGGCUCUGCAUAUUGGCAUGUAUUUGCUGACCACUGCUUUUGAAGACCCAGCUGUUAUUUUUUUGACAGUAUGUAAUGUUUUUUCUUCUCUUGGACCAUCCUUGCCAGGUGGUCACCAGAAGGUGUGAAUUCUGGAGAAUUUCACAAGAAAUGCAAACAGCCUCCCUUUCAUUCCACAUUGGACAGCAGCUUCCCCCCUCGCCUGAUCCUAAUCUCUACUGAGACUUUGGAAUCUGCCAGCUGGAAUUGAGGUAGUUACAUUGAUUCCUGUCACCUGUAUAUACUUGUCUUACAUGAAGGACGAUCUGCUUCAAAGGUUCAGUAUGUCCCAUUAUGGGAAAUCCAAACCUUCCUGUUAAGUCAACAAAAAGAGCAACUAAAAAAGAAGGAAGGAGCUUCUGGCAGCAUGUUUCCUGGCAGCAUAUAUUAUACUUAUGAACAAGUUGAAAGCAAGUCAUUUGCUAUCUUUCAUGCUUGUAUGGAGUAUUCAUUGAAUAGAGUAUUGAAUCAUUGAAUGAAUGGAGUAUUCACUGGGGAAACAUGAAUCCUCUAAAAACUUUAGAAGGCUUUGCCUUCUCCUCUGUGGUAUGUUUCAAUUUAGAGUUGGUUAACUGCAGCCAGUAUUUACUCCUGUGAAGACUUUCUUUUUUUUCUGUAUAGUCAUGAAUUUCUCUUCCCUUACCACCUUGAUAUUAUACAUUGUUCUUUAUAACAAUGGAGGCCUUUAAAAUAGUGUUUAAUUCUUGUUGCCCUGCAGGAAGAAAAAAUGCUAUGAAGCUGUAAGUAAAGGCAGAGUAGAUACAGAAAAGUCUCUCUGAUUUUCAUGUGUUUUAAUCACUCCAAAUAUCUCAAGUAUUUUAUUUAAGAUGAAAAAAAUAUUUGUGGGAAUUUUUUUAUAAGGCCAGAGCAGUAAUAUUGUCACAGUAGGAGAUAAAGUUUGAUAGAUUUUAAUAAUGCUGAAUAUAAGG